AAGUCGUAACAAGGUCUCCGUUGGUGAACCAGCGGAGGGAUCAUUACAGAGUGUCAAAACUCCCAAACCCCAUGUGAACAUACCUAUGUUGCUUCGGCGGGAUCGUCCCGGGCGCCCUGCGUGCCCCGGAGUCAGGCGCCCGCCGGAGGAUGCAAACUCUUGUCUUAUUGAGGAUCUUCUGAGUAUCAUAAACAAAUAUAUCAAAACUUUCAACAACGGAUCUCUUGGUUCUG
rnacentral:misc_RNA from 1 species